GGGCUCGUGGUCUAGCCCGGCCAUGACGCUUCCUUGACGUGGAGGAGAUCCCCGGUUCGAAUCCGGGCGAGCCCA
rnacentral:tRNA from 2 species